AUUUACAGCAGCAGAACCUCAGGAUUUUGUUUGACACUGCAAAUUCUCGCGUGGGAAUUGCUCGUGAACUUUGUAAUUAAUUAACUAGAUUACAAAGAAACAUGUUGUUAUCAAGUCUGCUUUAAUUUAAUUUUUUUUUUAUGUGUUGUUUAAUUUGGAAGAGAAAAUACACUCUUCAAUUUAAUUAUCUGAAUGUUCAAUAAAAUGUAAGUCCCCUUGGUGAAAAAGUUCAUCAAGUGCAAUUCCCUUGUCUGACAAUUUGAAAUGGUCGUUACAUUCAGCAAUAUAAUGAAAUGAUUUGGAGUAUAAUUUAUCUUUAACUUUUUAAUUAGAGUAAAAAUAAAAUAGCAGUGCAUUUAGAAUUUCUACUUAAUAUAUACUAUAUAGUACUACUAGAUAUCAAAUUUGUCAAAUUUGUACGGAAUUCUCUUUUUCCUGGCUUAUUAGACUUUAAUUGGUUUAGUUUUUUCAUGUGUUGUGUGCCUUUUCAUAUUCCUAAUAGAAAAUUACAAAGGAAUUUAUCACAUGAAAGGAGGACUAUCUGGUCCAUUUAAUUAUUUAAUUAGGAAGAAAAGUAAAGUUUACUUCGGUCUUUAAAUUGUCUAAAGGGAUAUUAUAGAACUUGAUCCCAUGCACCGACAAGAAUUAAUUUAGCAUCAGCAUGUCAAUUUCCAAUUAUUAGACAAAGCAAUGAAAAUUCUUAUUGUAUAUAUAACUAUGUCUAUGUAGAAUUGUACGAACUAACAAUGAAAAGGAAAACAUGAUCACUAACAAUGAAACUUCCAUUUUUAAACAAAGAGUAUUUGUCUUUUUUUCUCUUUUUAAAAUUUCAAACUGCUAAAUUAACUUAAACAUGACUAAUACACGAUGAAAAAAUAAUAUAUAUAAAAUAAAAAAAGGAAUGAAUGAGCAAGAAUAUAUAAGAAUUACAUCUACAUAUCAGUUUAUAUUAUAUAUACCCCAUUAUCAUAUUAUUUUGCUCAAAAGUAAUACAUGAUCAAUAAACACUAGCAAGUGAAUACACACAAAACCAAUAAGCAAAGUUAAAAACCUCAUUUUCUAUUUUGCUCACCCCACCUAUCUUUUAAUUUAUUUUUUACAAUUUUUUAUCAACCCCACCAUUGGUGCACAGCAAUACCCUCAUCUCUCAACAAUCCAUACAAUGCUAAGCAUUCCCAAUAUGCUCUCCUAUUUUUCUUAUCACCUUUUUUCAUUCCUUGAUGUUUACAUUCCAAGAAAAGUUCAUCAAUUAACCUAAUAGCUUUGUUUUUCACCAAUUCCUCAACCACAUCAGCCUCAGCUUUCAUUACCACAUACUCACUUUCUUUUACAUUAUUUUUUAACCAAUCAGACAUGCUAAUAAUCAUUGGUAUCUCCUUUCCAGAUGAUUCUUUUGUCACUGUCUCAAUCUUGAAUAUCUCAAAUUUUGUGUUUUUUGUAGGAUAGUAUUUUGAAAACCAAUCUGAUCCUUCAUUCUUGUCUUGUAAACCAACAUCAAUAAAUACUCUUCUUGGAUAAUUUUCAAGGGAAACACCCAUUAAAUCUGGUAAAUAACGAGUCCGUUUUAAAUAUCUACUUGAUUUUCCUGAUGCUGCUCUUGGUGGUUCAAGUAGUACAUCUUCUAGUUUCUUUAGUGCUGCCUCUUUUGCAUUUGUUUUCUUCGCUUUAGGCAUCCGAUGUUCAAAAUCAGCUGGUCUGAUCAAUUUGAAUUCGUGCAGGCUUGGCCGACUAAGGGAAGUAAAGUGUUUCCUACCAAAAAGCUUUUCAUUCUCAGGAUUCAGACCCGAGGCCUCUCUUGCAUUUGUUGUAAGAGAAUUACAAAGCCGUCGUUUGCUAGAAGAGCUGAUAGAGACAUUCCUUGUUUUCCUCAUGGCUACAAUAGUUGAAUCAAAUUUUCGUACAUAGACAAUCUUAUAAUUUGAUGGCUGUGGAAAUUCAGCCAUUGGAUUGUUACUAAGUGGUGCAACUACAAUGCCACCUACUUUCAAAGCUCGUUCAAUAAAAUUUGAGGACUGAGGGAAACCAUAGGAAAAUACAAAGUCAAAAGUUUCAUUAGGAACAAGAUCUUGUCGUGUCGAAUCUGAAAAAGAAAUCAAAUCUGGAUUGUAAUCUUUAACAAUUUGAGAAUUGUAAAUAACUUCCUCAUUGCCACUGGUUACAAGAAGGGAUCUAUCGCCCAUUCUUAAAAGGCCUUCAUUUGCCAAAUCUCGAAAAAUUAUAGGCAAAAACUCCAAAUUUAUUGGAUUAAAAGCCAUCUCAUGAACUUUGAAAGCAGAAUUAGAUUCGCAGCGCGAUAAGUACCCGAUUAUCGUAUUAAUCCAGGGCAAGGAAACAAUUACCAAUGCUAAAAUUGUUGCACGAGCCAUAAACUUCAAAACCCAAGAAUGGUCUAAUCUUAUAAUAACAAAUUUUGUGUCCCCAUGGUAGCCCAAACCAUCUAUGUAUAAACCUCUCAUUUUGUUAUGUUGCUUGGUGUAAAAACUUGGCAACAUAUCAUUCAUCGUUAUGUACCUCAUGUUUGUAUAAUGUGACAAGUAACAAGAAAUAAAAAUGAGCACGAAUCACGAAAAUUCUUGAAAUUUUUUCUUUAGAAAUCAGAAAGAAGGUUUCAGGUGCAUGCAAGCUAGCCAGACACUUCGGUCGUAGAAAGAAGAUUGAAAAACGUUCGGGGGAAGGUUGAAAAAAAUUAAAGCUAGAGUAAAGAAGAGUGAGCUACAAUAAUGGAGAGAAUAUGAAUAUUAUUUUAGCGAGUGCAAAACCUGGCAGCUGUGUGAUUUCCACCCACGAGGGCAACUCGAGUACUUUGCACUUUUGUCCACAAUAACAACAAAUCUUUUAACCUCUGAAUUUCCAUUUGUCAAUACUAAUACUCUCCUUCCUUCUAUAAUUUCCAGAUCGAUGACUUCUAUUUGGAAUAUUAACACUACUCCAUGAUCCAGUUUAACGAUACAUUGGAAAAAACUCCAAUAAUAUUUUGGUCAUCGAUCAGAAAAAAAGAAGGAAGGAGGAGGUUAAGAGCAAAGACUAUUGGAUCUUAAUUUUUAUUCUAUUUAUUUUUAUUUUUUUUCCUUUUAUACUUUCUAAUGCUAUUAUUUCUUUCUUUAUAAGGCUAUAGAAACUAAUAUAGCACAACGAGGGUAUGGAUUCAAAAUGA
rnacentral:lncRNA from 1 species